rnacentral:rRNA from 1 species
CCCUUAGAUGUCCUGGGCCGCACGCGUGCUACACUGACACCUGCAACGAGUUAUUCCAGCUCCGAAAGGCAGUUGGUAAUCAGAAAUAGGUGUCGUGAUGGGGAUAGACCCUUGGAAUUAUGGAUCUUGAACGAGGAAUGCCUAGUAAGCGCACGUCAUUAGCGUGCGCUGAUUAAGUCCCUGCCCUUUGUACACACCGCCCGUCGCUCCUACCGAUUUCGAGUGGUCCGGUGAGCCUUUUGGAGAGUGAGCGUCCUUGAGGCGCUUGCUCGAAGUCAGGCAAAUCUUGCUACUUAGAGGAAGGAUAAGUCGUAACA